rnacentral:misc_RNA from 1 species
UCCGGCUUAUCACCGGCGGUCCCUCUAGAGAUCCACUUUCGUGGCAACUAAAGGCGAGGGUUGCGCUCGUUGCGGGACUUAACCCAACAUCUCACGACACGAGCUGACGACAGCCAUGCAGCACCUGUGUAAAGGUUCUCUUUCGAGCACUCCCAGAUCUCUCCGGGAUUCCUUCCAUGUCAAGGGUAGGUAAGGUUUUUCGCGUUGCAUCGAAUUAAUCCACAUCAUCCACCGCUUGUGCGGGUCCCCGUCAAUUCCUUUGAGUUUUAAUCUUGCGACCGUACUCCCCAGGCGGUCUACUCCACGCGUUAGCUGCGUUACCAAGUCAAUUAAGACCCGACAACUAGUAGACAUCGUUUAGGGCGUGGACUAC